CCUACGGGAGGCAGCAGUGAGGAAUAUUGGUCAAUGGGCUUACGCCUGAACCAGCCAAGUCGCGUGAGGGAAGACUGCCCUAUGGGUUGUAAACCUCUUUUGUCAGGGAGCAACGCCGGCUACGUGUAGCCGGACUGAGAGUACCUGAAGAAAAAGCAUCGGCUAACUCCGUGCCAGCAGCCGCGGUAAUACGGAGGAUGCGAGCGUUAUCCGGAUUUUUUGGGUUUAAAGGGUGCGUAGGCGGAAUGCCAAGUCAGCGGUAAAAUCGCGGGGCUCAACCUCGCUCCGCCGUUGAAACUGGCGUUCUGGAGUGGGCGAGAAGUAUGCGGAAUGCGUGGUGUAGCGGUGAAAUGCUUAGAUAUUGCGCAGAACUCCGAUUGCGAAGGCAGCAUACCGGCGGCGAUCUGACGCUGAGGCACGAAAGCGUGGGUAUCGAACAGGAUUAGAUACCCGGGUAGUC
rnacentral:rRNA from 1 species